rnacentral:rRNA from 1 species
AUAGCGUAUAUUAAAGUUGUUGCAGUUAAAACGCUCGUAGUUGAACUUCAGACCUGGCCGGGCGGUCCGCUUAACGGCGUGUACUGUCUGGCUGGGCCUUACCUCUUGGUGAGCCGGCGUGCCCUUUAUUGGCGUGCGUCGGGGAACCAGGACUUUUACCUUGAGAAAAUUAGAGUGUUCAAAGCAGGCCUAUGCCCGAAUACAUUAGCAUGGAAUAAUAAAAUAGGACGUGCGGUUCUAUUUUGUUGGUUUCUAGAGUCGCCGUAAUGAUUAAUAGGGAUAGUUGGGGGCAUUGGUAUUGAGUCGCUAGAGGUGAAAUUCUUGGAUUGACUCAAGACCAACUGUUG